rnacentral:lncRNA from 1 species
GGCUGAGCUUAUUGGAGAGUCUGGAAGAGGCCUUUGGAUUCUUUUCUCUAGCUUUGAGGGGCUGCUUCCCUGUUUUUACACUAAUGCUCUGCUUCAGCACAAGUGGACAACUGAAUUGAAGGAUCAACAAGAAGAGCUGCUAGUUAGGUCUUAUCAGGUGGCUUUUUUCCUGUCAAGAUGCACAUACAGCGUGCUAGUCUGACUGCAUCAUCUCUGGUGUCAUAGCAGACCAAAAGCUUGGGAUAGGGAACUGAUUGAGUACUGGACCAGAAUAGGAUCAUUCAAGUGCCAGAAGAUGCAGAACUCACUAGAAUACAGUGGAUAGAAGGUGGCGACUAUAGCCAAUUUCUUCUCUCAUUAUGUUCGCACCUCACAGUUUUUUCAGAACUGUAUAUGUAUGAU